rnacentral:rRNA from 1 species
AGCGUACACGGUGGAUGCCUAGGCAGUCAGAGGCGAUGAAGGGCGUGCUAAUCUGCGAAAAGCGUCGGUAAGGUGAUAUGAACCGUUAUAACCGGCGAUACCCGAAUGGGGAAACCCAGUGUGUUUCGACACACUAUCAUGUCAUGAAUACAUAGUGGCAUGAGGCGAACCGGGGGAACUGAAACAUCUAAGUACCCCGAGGAAAAGAAAUCAACCGAGAUUCCCCCAGUAGCGGCGAGCGAACGGGGAGGAGCCCAGAACCUGAAUCGGCNAAAGGGUGAUAGCCCCGUACACUAAAAUGCACAGGUCGUGAGUUCGAUGAGUAGGGCGGGACACGUGACAUCCUGUCUGAAUAUGGGGGGACCAUCCUCCAAGGCUAAAUACUCCUGACUGACCGAUAGUGAACCAGUACCGUGAGGGAAAGGCGAAAAGAACCCCGGCGAGGGGAGUGAAAUAGAACCUGAAACCGUGUACGUACAAGCAGUGGGAGCACCUUCGUGGUGUGACUGCGUACCUUUUGUAUAAUGGGUCAGCGACUUAUAUUUUGUAGCAAGGUUAACCGUAUAGGGGAGCCGUAGGGAAACCGAGUCUUAACUGGGCGAUUAGUUGCAAGGUAUAGACCCGAAACCCGGUGAUCUAGCCAUGGGCAGGUUGAAGGUUGGGUAACACUAACUGGAGGACCGAACCGACUAAUGUUGAAAAAUUAGCGGAUGACUUGUGGCUGGGGGUGAAAGGCCAAUCAAACCGGGAGAUAGCUGGUUCUCCCCGAAAGCUAUUUAGGUAGCGCCUCGUGAACUCAUCUUCGGGGGUAGAGCACUGUUUCGGCUAGGGGGCCAUCCCGGCUUACCAAACCGAUGCAAACUCCGAAUACCGAAGAAUGUUAUCACGGGAGACACACGGCGGGUGCUAACGUCCGUCGUGAAGAGGGAAACAACCCAGACCGCCAGCUAAGGUCCCAAAGUCAUGGUUAAGUGGGAAACGAUGUGGGAAGGCACAGACAGCCAGGAUGUUGGCUUAGAAGCAGCCAUCAUUUAAAGAAAGCGUAAUAGCUCACUGGUCGAGUCGGCCUGCGCGGAAGAUGUAACGGGGCUAAACCAUGCACCGAAGCUGCGGCAGCGACGCUUAGGCGUUGUUGGGUAGGGGAGCGUUCUGUAAGCCGUUGAAGGUGGCCUGUGAGGGUUGCUGGAGGUAUCAGAAGUGCGAAUGCUGACAUAAGUAACGAUAAAGCGGGUGAAAAGCCCGCUCGCCGGAAGACCAAGGGUUCCUGUCCAACGUUAAUCGGGGCAGGGUGAGUCGACCCCUAAGGCGAGGCUGAAAAGCGUAGUCGAUGGGAAACAGGUUAAUAUUCCUGUACUUGGUGUUACUGCGAAGGGGGGACGGAGAAGGCUAGGCUGGCCGGGCGACGGUUGUCCCGGUUUAAGCGUGUAGGGGGUGUGACCUGGUAAAUCCGGUUGCAUAUCAACCCUGAGGCGUGAUGACGAUGCACUACGGUGCAGAAGUAGUUGAUGCCCUGCUUCCAGGAAAAUCCUCUAAGCUCCAGGUAACAUUAAAUCGUACCCCAAACCGACACAGGUGGUCAGGUAGAGAAUACCAAGGCGCUUGAGAGAACUCGGGUGAAGGAACUAGGCAAAAUGGUGCCGUAACUUCGGGAGAAGGCACGCUGGCAUGUAGGUGAAGUCCCUUGCGGAUGGAGCUGAAGCCAGUCGAAGAUACCAGCUGGCUGCAACUGUUUAAUAAAAACACAGCACUGUGCAAACACGAAAGUGGACGUAUACGGUGUGACGCCUGCCCGGUGCUGGAAGGUUAAUUGAUGGGGUCAGCCGCAAGGCGAAGCUCUUGAUCGAAGCCCCAGUAAACGGCGGCCGUAACUAUAACGGUCCUAAGGUAGCGAAAUUCCUUGUCGGGUAAGUUCCGACCUGCACGAAUGGCGUAAUGAUGGCCAGGCUGUCUCCACCCGAGACUCAGUGAAAUUGAACUCGCUGUGAAGAUGCAGUGUACCCGCGGCAAGACGGAAAGACCCCGUGAACCUUUACUAUAGCUUGACACUGAACAUUGAGCCUUGAUGUGUAGGAUAGGUGGGAGGCUUUGAAGCGUGGACGCCAGUCUGCGUGGAGCCAUCCUUGAAAUACCACCCUUUAAUGUUUGAUGUUCUAACUCUGCCCCAUAAUCUGGGGUGAGGACAGUGUCUGGUGGGUAGUUUGACUGGGGCGGUCUCCUCCCAAAGAGUAACGGAGGAGCACGAAGGUUAGCUAAUCACGGUCGGACAUCGUGAGGUUAGUGCAAAGGCAUAAGCUAGCUUGACUGCGAGAGUGACGGCUCGAGCAGGUACGAAAGUAGGUCUUAGUGAUCCGGUGGUUCUGAAUGGAAGGGCCAUCGCUCAACGGAUAAAAGGUACUCCGGGGAUAACAGGCUGAUACCGCCCAAGAGUUCAUAUCGACGGCGGUGUUUGGCACCUCGAUGUCGGCUCAUCACAUCCUGGGGCUGAAGUAGGUCCCAAGGGUAUGGCUGUUCGCCAUUUAAAGUGGUACGCGAGCUGGGUUUAGAACGUCGUGAGACAGUUCGGUCCCUAUCUGCCGUGGGCGUUGGAAGAUUGAGAGGGGUUGCUCCUAGUACGAGAGGACCGGAGUGAACGCACCACUGGUGUUCGGGUUGUCAUGCCAAUGGCAUUGCCCGGUAGCUAAGUGCGGAAAAGAUAAGCGCUGAAAGCAUCUAAGCGCGAAACUUGCCUCAAGAUGAGUCU